GUUAUUGCCAUUGUUUACAGAACGGCAAGUGUUUGUACCUCGGAGUUGAUGAUUGUAGACAAAAUUCAUUGUUCGUGAUGUAUUUUACAACCAGCCAGUUAGAAGGAAGCAAAUGCACUCCAAAAGGUCUUGCAUUCUCUGAAAGAGUCUCUUCUCUU